CAAAAUUUCGUCUCUGCCACAACAUGCUAUUUUAUUAGUUCUGGUGCAUAAUUUCGUUCGAGUCAUAACUCGGCAAGAUACGUUUCGGCCAUUUGUCGAUUUGAAUGGCUACCGAGGAAGCUCGCCGGCAUCUCUCCAAUUAAAAUAUAUUUCUUGUGGAAUUUGUACCAAAGUAAAAAAUGAUAUAAAAUGGUAAAAUUAUAUUAUAAUCACCGAUUACGGUACGCUCAAAUUUAUUAUUGCAAUCUGUUUAUAAGUUACUGUACAAAUUGAUAAUUAUAUUACGGUCGGUAAAAUUGCGGAACGUGAAAAAAAAAUGAAUUAUUUUAACACAGUAGAAAAUAAAUUAAAUUGAAAAAUAAAAGACUAGAUCUGGUUAAAAAAAAAGACUGAAAUAAUAAUCCGACAUUUUAUAUUUUAAUUAAAAGAAUUUUUCUAUUCGCCCUCUAUCGUCCAAAGUUCGCAAUUACGUUAUCACGUGUUCUUCCAGGUUGUCAGAUAUCGUUUGGCGUUUUUAGGGAUUCCAUCCUUCUCUUCAUUCAAGAAAAUAAAAAAAUAAGAACUGAUUGCGAUGGAAAACGAUAUUUUGGAUUGUUUAGAGGAUUUAGGUUAUCCAGGUUCAUUGGAUCCUAAUGGUUUUACAAAAGCAAUACAAGAAGGUCCUAAGAGUGUUGAAUUUACAAGAAUUGUUGAAUGGUUAUCAAAAGAAUUACAAGUUGUUCUCAAGUUAGAAGGCUGUGUGAAUGCAAUAA